rnacentral:rRNA from 1 species
GGAAGAACACCAGUGGCGAAGGCGGCUGUCUGGUCUGUAACUGACGCUGAGGCUCGAAAGCAUGGGUAGCAAACAGGAUUAGAUACCCUGGUAGUCCAUGCCGUAAACGAUGAGUGCUAGGUGUUGGAGGGUUUCCGCCCUUCAGUGCCGCAGCUAACGCAUUAAGCACUCCGCCUGGGGAGUACGACCGCAAGGUUGAAACUCAAAGGAAUUGACGGGGGCCCGCACAAGCGGUGGAGCAUGUGGUUUAAUUCGAAGCAACGCGAAGAACCUUACCAGGUCUUGACAUCCUUUGACCACUCUAGAGAUAGAGCUUUCCCUUCGGGGACAAAGUGACAGGUGGUGCAUGGUUGUCGUCAGCUCGUGUCGUGAGAUGUUGGGUUAAGUCCCGCAACGAGCGCAACCCUUAUUACUAGUUGCCAGCAUUUAGUUGGGCACUCUAGUGAGUUUGCCGGUGACAAACCGGAGGAAGGUGGGGACGACGUCAAAUCAUCAUGCCC